GAUGAACGCUAGCGGCAGGCUUAAUACAUGCAAGUUGAGGGGCAGCAUGAUAUACGCGAGUAUAUUGAUGGCGACCGGCGGACGGGUGAGUAAUAGGUAGGAGACCUACCUCAUACAGGGGGAUAGCAUAGAGAAAUCUGUGGUAAUACCCCAUGAGGUUAUAUGAAUAGAGGCAUAUAAUCAAAGCAUAAGCGAUUAUGCGGUAUGAGAGGGGCCUACUGACCAUUAGCUAGUUGGUGAGGUAAGGGCUCACCAAGGCGAAGAUGGUUAGGGGUUUUGAGAGAGAGACCCCCCACAUUGGAACUGAGAGACGGUCCAGACUCCUACGGGAGGCAGCAGUAGGGAAUAUUGGGCAAUGGGCGAAAGCCUGACCCAGCCAUGCCGCGUGAAGGAAGACAGCCUUAUGGGUUGUAAACUUCUUUACUACGCGAAUAGAGGUUAGUACGAGAUACUAAUAGGAAGGUAGUGUAGUAAAAGACACCGGCUAACUCCGU
rnacentral:rRNA from 1 species